CUGUAGGGGAAGCGCUUCCUCUGGAGCGGGGGAUGCAGCACCCGGAAGCAGUCAUGCCAGGCCUGCCUGAUUCCCAUCUUCUUGCCAGAGAUCUUUGAAAGUGCAGGUGGAACAGAGUUCUUGCCCCAUGGCUCCACUACCGUUGCAGUCAUAGUGAACGUGAGACCAGAUGGCAGGGAUCUGAUGAAAAUUAUUGAUUUAAAGGAUGCAGAUGAGAACCUGAAGAGCUGACUAAAAAGUAAUGACUGAAAAGCUGAGAUACUGAGCAUAGCUUCCAAAUGUCUCAUGGGGCUAUAGAGAAAAACCCUGUGUUCAUGGCCCACUGUGAAAUAAGAAUGCUAGGAAACCUCCAGGCUUUUAGUUAGGACUCCUGAAACAUGAUAGUAAGGAAUGUGAAUAUAAACAUAGGAGAAAACCAAAAAUAUGCCAGACCUCACAAAGAAUGAAGCCUGAAUUUGAAUUAGCUCAGUGGUUGAUUGAAUUAGGUCAUAUUCCUUCUUUAAACUGCCUCAUUGGAAUAAAAAGUAAAUCCUUUCUGGAGGAAAAUAACAUCACCGAGUUCCUUAAAUUACUUGUAUAUGUUCCCAGACUUUGUGUAUUCAAUCUAAAAUACUCAGGUACAUAAAAAGGUGAAAGUUAACAAACAAAAGAAUACAACGAAGAGGAUCCAGAUAUUAGAACUAUCAAUCACAUCCUUUAAAUAAGUAUAAAUAGUAUGUUUAAGAAGUGCCAAUCUGAAAGACUUAAGUAGAUAACUGAAAAUUAUUCAAAACAAACAACAAAAGAAUGGAAAAGA